GAUGAACGCUGGCGGCGUGCCUAAUACAUGCCAGUCGAGCGAACGGACGAGAAGCUUGCUCCUCUGAUGUUAGCGGCGGACGGGUGAGUAACACGUGGAUAACCUACCUAUAAGUCUGGGAUAACUUCGGGAAACCGGAUCUAAUACCGGAUGAUAUUUUGAACCGCAUGGUUCAAAAGUGAAAGACGGUUUUGCUGUCACUUAUAGAUGGAUCCGCGCUGCAUUAGCUAGUUGGUAAGGUAACGGCUUACCAAGGCGACGAUGCGUAGCCGACCUGAGAGGGUGAUCGGCCACACUGGAACUGAGACACGGUCCAGACUCCUACGGGAGGCAGCAGUAGGGAAUCUUCCGCAAUGGGCGAAAGCCUGACGGAGCAACGCCGCGUGAGUGAUGAAGGUCUUCGGAUCGUAAAACUCUGUUAUUAGGGAAGAACAUAUGUGUAAGUAACUGUGCACAUCUUGACGGUACCUAAUCAGAAAGCAACGGCUAACUACGUG
rnacentral:rRNA from 1 species